rnacentral:rRNA from 1 species
CGAGCGCACCCACAUCCUUAGUUGCCAGCAGUUCGGCUGGGCACUCUAAGGAAACUGCCCGUGAUAAGCGGGAGGAAGGUGUGGAUGACGUCAAGUCCUCAUGGCCCUUACGGGUUGGGCUACACACGUGCUACAAUGGCAGUGACAAUGGGUUAAUCCCAAAAAACUGUCUCAGUUCGGAUUGUCGUCUGCAACUCGGCGGCAUGAAGUCGGAAUCGCUAGUAAUCGCGUAACAGCAUGACGCGGUGAAUACGUUCCCGGGCCUU